CCAGAAGCCACCAGUUCUUCUUGGUUGUGUGACGCUGUGUGUAGCUUCCGUAGUUCCAGACGAGCGGCCACAUUGAAGAAGUUUGUUCAGCAGUGACGACAAGGCGGAUUUUUGUUCCUCAACAUUCACGGCUUGGAAAAUGAAGCCUUCGAAAUGGUGAGCGUAUGACUUUUCUUUAGCAGUGACCGUCUGGGCUCUCCUAGUCGGCUCUGCAACAAACUGGGCUCAGUUAAGGAAGUGUCAGCGAAACGUCAAUGUAAAUGUAAAAGUUGUUUCGCUGUAGCUAAGCUAGACAGAUGAAGAUGGCAAGCUUCAAGAGGAGCUACGCGGCGUUUGUCCUCGAGUAGCUUUAGUUAGGCCUAACUGAGCCCGCAUUUCGUUCGUCACAGACCAACUGUUCAUGGUAGUUAUUGACAUUGUUGCGCUUUGACGAACGGAAUGUUUUUUUUUCUUUUUCUUGCGUCAACUGAAGAGGAACUCCGCAUUUCAGUUCGUAAGCCAAAUGGGUGUUACGACAAAGGUAGGUAGGAACUUCUGUAUCCACUUUCGAUUCCAAUUCCAUCGUCGUUAGGGUUAGCUUACGGUCGCGGUGUUAGGCAUGCCAUCCGUUGCUGCGUUUCUUCACACUUUUAUCUUCUCGUUGUGACUGGGCUACUUUUGAAAAUAAAGUUUCUGUACUGCUUCCUUGUAUGUCAUUUUUCUCUCCGCCCCCUGGACGCAAACAUUCACUAGCUUAUACCGGUGAGGCAGUGAUAUAUACUGCGACCAACCCCGUUGUCUGUCUUGCUUUCUCAUUUGGCUACAUUAUUGUGAAAUUGUAUAUGUGAUUGUUGAAAUAAAUGCUCGCUUCGAUGUUUCGCAUUCGUUGUUUUAUCUGUCCCUGGUACACAAACAUGCACUAGAUUACUGGUUGAGGCAGGUACAUUUUGAAUGGCGUCCUCCUUGCCUUCCAGAUCAUCUGCUGUACCAGUCUUCAAGUUCACCUAAGUGACUGCGAGGACAUCCAGCAAUGAGGCGCACCAUCUCGUGAAGUAUAUUGUUUUGUAUCGAUAUUUGCUAAUUUGAUUCUAUCUGCAGGCGGUGGUCCCUUGGAUGGGGACGCAGGAACCAUUUCAUCCCGCUGUGUCCUGUUCAUUCCUGAAAGGAUGGCACGUAGCUGGUGAAGAUGCAUCAUACAAGCCGUCGUGCUGUACUUGUUUUCCCUCAAGCUCAAGGUUUUAUGUAUGAUGUUGAUUUUUAUGAUUGUGAAUUAAAUAUGAUCGAGAAAUUUC